AGAGUUUGAUCCUGGCUCAGGACGAACGCUGGCGGCGUGCCUAAUACAUGCAAGUCGAGCGGACAGAUGGGAGCUUGCUCCCUGAUGUUAGCGGCGGACGGGUGAGUAACACGUGGGUAACCUGCCUGUAAGACUGGGAUAACUCCGGGAAACCGGGGCUAAUACCGGAUGGUUGUUUGAACCGCAUGGUUCAAACAUAAAAGGUGGCUUCGGCUACCACUUACAGAUGGACCCGCGGCGCAUUAGCUAGUUGGUGAGGUAACGGCUCACCAAGGCGACGAUGCGUAGCCGACCUGAGAGGGUGAUCGGCCACACUGGGACUGAGACACGGCCCAGACUCCUACGGGAGGCAGCAGUAGGGAAUCUUCCGCAAUGGACGAAAGUCUGACGGAGCAACGCCGCGUGAGUGAUGAAGGUUUUCGGAUCGUAAAGCUCUGUUGUUAGGGAAGAACAAGUACCGUUCGAAUAGGGCGGUACCUUGACGGUACCUAACCAGAAAGCCACGGCUAACUACGUGCCAGCAGCCGCGGUAAUACGUAGGUGGCAAGCGUUGUCCGGAAUUAUUGGGCGUAAAGGGCUCGCAGGCGGUUUCUUAAGUCUGAUGUGAAAGCCCCCGGCUCAACCGGGGAGGGUCAUUGGAAACUGGGGAACUUGAGUGCAGAAGAGGAGAGUGGAAUUCCACGUGUAGCGGUGAAAUGCGUAGAGAUGUGGAGGAACACCAGUGGCGAAGGCGACUCUCUGGUCUGUAACUGACGCUGAGGAGCGAAAGCGUGGGGAGCGAACAGGAUUAGAUACCCUGGUAGUCCACGCCGUAAACGAUGAGUGCUAAGUGUUAGGGGGUUUCCGCCCCUUAGUGCUGCAGCUAACGCAUUAAGCACUCCGCCUGGGGAGUACGGUCGCAAGACUGAAACUCAAAGGAAUUGACGGGGGCCCGCACAAGCGGUGGAGCAUGUGGCUUAAUUCGAAGCAACGCGAAGAACCUUACCAGGUCUUGACAUCCUCUGACAAUCCUAGAGAUAGGACGUCCCCUUCGGGGGCAGAGUGACAGGUGGUGCAUGGUUGUCGUCAGCUCGUGUCGUGAGAUGUUGGGUUAAGUCCCGCAACGAGCGCAACCCUUGAUCUUAGUUGCCAGCAUUCAGUUGGGCACUCUAAGGUGACUGCCGGUGACAAACCGGAGGAAGGUGGGGAUGACGUCAAAUCAUCAUGCCCCUUAUGACCUGGGCUACACACGUGCUACAAUGGACAGAACAAAGGGCAGCGAAACCGCGAGGUUAAGCCAAUCCCACAAAUCUGUUCUCAGUUCGGAUCGCAGUCUGCAACUCGACUGCGUGAAGCUGGAAUCGCUAGUAAUCGCGGAUCAGCAUGCCGCGGUGAAUACGUUCCCGGGCCUUGUACACACCGCCCGUCACACCACGAGAGUUUGUAACACCCGAAGUCGGUGAGGUAACCUUUUAGGAGCCAGCCGCCGAAGGUGGGACAGAUGAUUGGGGUGAAGUCGGAACAAGGUA
rnacentral:rRNA from 1 species